UACUCUUUUCCUCGUUUCCAGUGACAGAUUGAUGUUUUAUCUUGAUGACGAUCUGGUGUCCCUUGCUGUGCAUGACUGACCCUACUUGAUGACGAUCUGGGGUCACCUGCUGUGCAUGACUGACCCUACUUGAUGACGAUCUGGGGUCACCUGCUGUGCAUGACUGACCCUACUUGAUGACGAUUUGGUGUCCCCUGCUGUGCAUGACUGACCCUACUUGAUGACGAUCUGGUGUCCCCUGCUGUGCAUGACUGACCCUACUUGAUGACGAUCUGGUGUCACCUGCUGUGCAUGACUGACCCUACUUGAUGACGAUCUGGUGUCACCUGCUGUGCAUGACUGACCCUACUUGAUGACGAUCUGGUGUCCCCUGCUGUGCAUGACUGACCCUACUUGAUGACGAUCUGGUGUCCCCUGCUGUGCAUGACUGACCCUACUUGAUGACGAUCUGGUGUCACCUGCUGUGCAUGACUGACCCUACUUGAUGACCAUCUGGUGUCACCUGCUGUGCAUGACUGACCCUACCGGACGAGGCAGUUCUUUCAGAACUCCCCUUUACGUCUUUAUCUGUAUUUAUUGAAGUGAUUUAUGAUCCAUAAUGUUCUAGGGAAAGAAUACAGCAGUGGUUUCCCCUUGCCUUC